rfam:Halorientalis sp. IM1011, complete genome.
GGGCCGAUAGCUCAGUCCGGCAGAGCGACGGCCUCUUAAGCCGUCGGUCAAGGGUUCAAAUCCCUUUCGGCCCG